rnacentral:lncRNA from 1 species
GGAAAUUCCCCAUGGCGUUCCGCGCAAGCUCAAUCAAAGCUUUAAUAGCCUACGCAACCGAGGUAACGGAACAGAGGGCAGACAGAGUCAGUACAGCAUCAGUAUCCGCCGGGAAUGCGACCUGAUCACUGCCAUAACACGAUCUCUAUAGGGACCAGCACGGGCGCAAUCUCAUGGAGCCAGAGUUUCAAACGCAGCAGAUCCAACAGAUCACUGGAUAAGACACGCGGCGCCACUUCGUUUCUCUACAGUCCUCUAGAUUGGGUAAACCAUGGGUAAGAAAGUCUUGCAGUGUUUUCCUUGGUACAAACGCUGUAAAGACCUGGGUAAAAGCAGGCUGUGCCCUCCUCUGCCUGUGCCAUCUGUUGAGGUGCAACCUGGCUUCUCUCCGACAGUCUCCUGGGGUUACGACGGAGAGGAAAGCGCCACACGUCCCGUCUAUUUUUCCCAUAAAGCACGAGUAGUUUAUCGCCACCAGAUGGAAGGAAAUAUUAUUGAUGCCACCUGCUGACCUCUGGGCUUCUUUCCCAGAAUCUCUUGCCUUGUACCUGGCUGUAGACGUCCAGUGUAGAGGAGCGUUGUAGGAGCCUGUUCCAUCAUGUGUAAUUAAACUAAAUAUUUUGUAUUUAGUAAAGAUGUCACAGUGUUUCCUCUGGUUCUUCCACCCUCUUGCCAGACCAUUCACCUGUCUUGUUCUUACUGUGUUGAAAUAUAAUAUAAUGUUUCAAGGGAAACAGAGUGUGCAGGCCACAUGUAAUGGAAAAACAGGAACUGAGCUGGAUUUUUAAAAUACAAAAUGUAAUGUAUAUGUGUUUUGUCGCGCAAAUCUGAUCCUGGAUGUAUGAUUGCUUGUUGUUUUUCAGAUGACAAACCACAGUUGGUUUUUCAGAGGUUUAUGAAUGCAUUUCAGGCAAAAGAAAACAUUUUGUACGAAUCACUGGAAUUAUAAUAUAAAAUGUAUGUACAUUUAGUAAUUAUCGUGAUAUAUUUUGAGUAUAAAAAAGCAGUUUGAGUAUUGAAUAAAAUUGUUUAAAUAU